AUACGGAGGAUCCGAGCGUUAUCCGGAUUUAUUGGGUUUAAAGGGAGCGUAGGUGGAUUGUUAAGUCAGUUGUGAAAGUUUGCGGCUCAACCGUAAAAUUGCAGUUGAUACUGGUAGUCUUGAGUGCAGCAGAGGUAGGCGGAAUUCGUGGUGUAGCGGUGAAAUGCUUAGAUAUCACGAAGAACUCCGAUUGCGAAGGCAGCUUACUGGACUGUAACUGACGCUGAUGCUCGAAAGUGUGGGUAUCAAACAGGAUUAGAUACCCUGGUAGUCCACACAGUAAACGAUGAAUACUCGCUGUUUGCGAUAUACAGCAAGCGGCCAAGCGAAAGCAUUAAGUAUUCCACCUGGGGAGUACGCCGGCAACGGUGAAACUCAAAUGAAUUGACGGGG
rnacentral:rRNA from 1 species